CGGGAGGCAGCAGUUAGGAAUCUUCCGCAAUGGGCGCAAGCCUGACGGAGUGACGCCGCUUGGAGGAUGAAGCCCUUCGGGGUGUAAACUCCUGAACUGGGGGCGAAAUCCCUGAUGAGGGGGCUGACGGUACCCAGGUAAUAGCGCCGGCCAACUCCGUGCCAGCAGCCGCGGUAAUACGGAGGGCGCGAGCGUUACCCGGAUUUACUGGGCGUAAAGGGCGUGUAGGCGGUUUGGCGCGUCUGGCGUUAAAGACCGCGGCUCAACCGUGGGGAUGCGCUGGAUACGGCCAAGCUAGACGGCUGGAGGGGGUGGUGGAAUUCCCGGAGUAGCGGUGAAAUGCGCAGAUACCGGGAGGAACGCCGAUAGCGAAGGCAGCCACCUGGCCAGUUUGUGACGCUGAGGCGCGAGAGCGUGGGGAGCAAACCGGAUUAGAUACCCGGGUAGUCCACGCCCUAAAC
rnacentral:rRNA from 1 species